rnacentral:lncRNA from 1 species
UCAGCAUACAAAAGAAGAAGAAGCCAAUUUCAAGAAGUAAACAACCAAAUGCCAUUGGGGGAAUAGCAUCAAUCAUGGCAAGAUAAUGCAAUCAAGGUACCCAGGCUGGUAUCUCCAGUUCAAAUUCCACGCAGAUCCAGCUUGAAAUAUUUUGCUACACCAAGCAAUCACAUCUUGUGAUCCAAGAAAGCUCUACUCUCAUGUGAAGAUCAGGAUGUGUUUCGUUCCAUGUUGGAAUUGCUU